CCUACGGGAGGCAGCAGUGGGGAAUAUUGGACAAUGGGGGCAACCCUGAUCCAGCCAUGCCGCGUGUGUGAAGAAGGCCCUCGGGUUGUAAAGCACUUUCAGUGGGGAAGAACGCCUGGUGGUUAAUACCCAUCAGGAAAGACAUCACUCACAGAAGAAGCACCGGCUAACUCCGUGCCAGCAGCCGCGGUAAUACGGAGGGUGCGAGCGUUAAUCGGAAUUACUGGGCGUAAAGCGCGCGUAGGUGGCUUGAUAAGCCGGUUGUGAAAGCCCCGGGCUCAACCUGGGAACGGCAUCCGGAACUGUCAAGCUAGAGUGCAGGAGAGGAAGGUAGAAUUCCCGGUGUAGCGGUGAAAUGCGUAGAGAUCGGGAGGAAUACCAGUGGCGAAGGCGGCCUUCUGGACUGACACUGACACUGAGGUGCGAAAGCGUGGGUAGCAAACAGGAUUAGAUACCCCGGUAGUC
rnacentral:rRNA from 1 species